rnacentral:lncRNA from 1 species
AGGAGAAAAAGCUAUGAAUUCCACUAGGUGCAUAUCGAACCGAUUAAAUAUCUUUUGGGGAUAAAAUACACCAAAAUUUUGUUCAUGUCCAGCACACAAUGUGAGAAUUCUUUUGUGAUAACAUAAACUUGAAAGUUUCGAUCCAGCAAGAUAAGGGAGUUGUGAGGCAUGCAUUUGCUUGUUAAUAAUAACUUCGGACAUUAACAUGUUUUGAGGCAAUCCACAUAUUACAAAUGCUUCCUUAUUCAGUUCGAAUACACAGGUCCACCCCUGCGUUUUAUUAUCACUACUACUUUACGAGUGCGCGACGCACAGCGCUUUAUUCUUGACGAGCCAUUGCACGAAACCUCCCGGCGCCUAGCAAGUGAGGUUGCUCCCGGGGUCGACGCCGAGCUGCUGGCAGUACUGCUUGUAGUAGC